GCGGUCCCUGUGCCUAAUCGGAUGCCCUGUCACCUUGAGUGCUCUCUGUUCCACAGUCACAUAGAGUCAGCGCCUCCUCCUCAUGAUAGGCCUUGAGCUAUUUAAUCAUGGUGCCAUAUUUCUCUCCAGGCCUUCACUUCUCUGAACCGAACGUCCCUGGUCCCUCCGAUAUUGCUUCAUAGAAGAUGCUCCUUCCUUCUCACUUUUGUCUGCAUGAGUUCUGUUUUCUCGGUGUACCUUGUGAAGCUUGGGGUCCCCGGUGAGGGGUUACAGAGCUACUCCAACUGGAACUUUGUUUUCCACAACCUGGGAUUUCAGCCGCGUGUUCAGCAGAUGCUCAGAGACGGGCUGCCGUGCCAGGAACUUAUCCCAAUGCUGGGAACACACACGGUGGACAAAAUGGACAAAACCCAGGUAUAGUCCGACAAUAAUGGGAAGAGACUGGAAAGCUGAAGCUCUUCUCUAGAUCAGUUUCAGGGAGAGCCGUCCAGAGGCAAACCGGCAACAUGUGGGCGUCCUGGUCCUCCACAGUCCUGCCAUUUUGGAGUCAACCCUGCAGGUGUCCCACCCUAGGUACUUGAUAUCUGCAGUUGCAUCCCUCUCAAACCACCGCAUCCCCAGUGCUGUGCCCUCUUGUAGUCUGUGCAUCACAUAAUCAAUUUAUUGUUGAGUGUCCUCCACUCCCCUCUGGAAUGUAAGCUCCCCAUGGGCAAGAAUGACUGUCCACUGAUAGAUCCCAGCCCUGGGAACAUUGUCUGGAAAAAGAUUUUGUCCAAGCUCAUUAAAUCGAUGAGCUGAGGCCCCACUCUGGGUCCCUCUGGCUCCC
rnacentral:lncRNA from 1 species